ACUACUUCUUCUUCUUCUUCUUCUUAUUAUUAUUUUUAAACUAUAAUUUUUGUGUUUUAUAUAAUUUUAAUGAUUUUUUUCUUUUCUUCUUAGUAUUAAAAUCGUAAUUAAAUAUUAAAAUUAUAACCGUUCGAUCACUUUAUAAUCGUAAAUCGAUGCAUAUCGAUCGAUAAUCGAAAUGUUUGUCGGCUAUUGAUUGGUUGAAAAGAUUUAAUUUAUUUGUAUCAUUGGAAGAUUUGAAAAAUAUGCUCAUAUUGAUAAUUUAUUAUUUUAAAAGUGAAAAUUUAUAAAUUAAUACUUUCGAUAAUUUUUCAAUUAUUUAAACAAUCAUUAAAGUACACUGUGUAGAAUAAAAUAAUAUUUAAAUGAUAAUAUAUUCCCUUAAACAUUACAAAGCUCGUAACGCGCGGGAAAUUCAUAAUAAUUUUAAAUCAAUAUUUCAAUACUUAAAAAAUUUUAUCCCAAUAAACGUAAAGUAUAAUUAAUCGAUAUUUAAACAAUAGGACGUUCUUAUCGUCCUAUUGUUUAAUGAAACAAAUUGAAACGCAUAGAAAACUUUAUUUCAUUUUAUUCUUUCGAAAUUUGUGGUACAGGAAUUUCAAAUCUAACAGGAAAAAAAAUAUUAAUAAGAAUGUUAAUAUUGAUAUUUAAUUUUAAAUAACUACAGUGCAAUAACGUCUAAAUACAUAGAGUUAUAUGAAUAUUAAAAUUAAUUAAUUGUUUUACUGAAUAACAGCUCUUAAAGUUGUGAAGUACGAAAAGGCCGAAGAUAGGUACUAAAAUAUAUAUAUAUAAAAUUAUAUAAUGUAUCGAUGUGUGUGAGAAGUAUUGAUAAUUAUAAUGAUAAUAAACGUACCGACAUGUAAUAAGUUAGAGAAAAUGCAGGUAAAAAUCCAGGAAUACUGACUGUAACUGGUUUUUGAGAUCUUUCGAUUAUAAUACAAACAUUUUUCCACAUUUCUCGUGAUUUAUCAUACCAAUUCAAAUCAAAAAAUGCCGAUCCAAUCGCAUUACUCUUUAAUAAUAAUUUUUAAUAAAAUAAUAAAGUGUACAAGUUGUAUAAUUAUCAUUGUUUAUAUUAUCUAAAUAAAUAAGGAAAGUUAUUAUUACCCUUUGUAUUAAAUUUUCAGCCGGAUAUGAGUUUACGAACAUUUGAAUAAUGGUGAGAAUAUCCAGUAUGAGAAAUUGUGAUUUGACAGCCGCCGAGUCUGUCUGUAAUUAUAAAAAAGGAUACAUUAAAAAGUAAUUGUAAUAUCAAAAAAUUCAACAAUAAUUUGUAUAUAGACAUAUCAUUUGUAUAUAAUUAUAAAUAUUAUCGAUUCGAUUAAAAUAAUGAUUAUUUAGUUGUUAUAAUAAUGAUACUAACAAAGAGGAAUAAGAGUCCACUAAACACUAUUAAUAUGGUCGUAAUACCAACAGUCAAAAAGAUCACAAUACGCACAGUUUUUACUACCUUUUCUGCGUAACUAAAAAAGAAAUAAGAAUAACACGUGUUCAUGUAUAUAUUAAAUAAAUUUUUUUUUUUCUUAUUCUAAUGAGAAAAAUAUUACCUGAGUAACUGAAUAUGUUUCAAUAUACAUCGUUUGAGAUCAGAUUCGUCGACGAUAUUAGCUAUUUCAUUUUCCAAUAUUUCAAAUCUUGCACCAGUGAACCAUAGUAGAACUGCGACAAAGUUAUCAACCGAUUGACCUGCAGCACAUUGGAUUCCAGUAUAUACAUGGUGAAAAUAAGCAAAUUCGUAUGCGGGAUGUUUAUCCACAUCGAAAGGAUAUACGGCAUAAGUUGGUAAGGGCUGUGGUAGAAAUAAUGGUCCUAACACGAUAUUCGCACUGAUUGCAUAAGUUCCAAAAGUCAUGGAUAAGUGAAGUUUCAUAACUUUUUUAAUAUAUUUUUCUAAUGUAUCUCUUUCGUUUGGUGAUGCUUGUUUAAUGACACUUUCCAUUUCCUCUAUUAUCAUCUGAAACAAUUGAAAUAAUUAUGUAGACGAUGUUUUAAUUGGAAAUGUUAGAUCAAAUUCAAAUUUGUAUUUUAUUAAACCUGAUAGCUCGAACGUUGUAGUCUACCAGUCAAAAGUUUUAUACCCACUUGCAUAGCAGCGAUUACUACACACGAUGACUGCAUUAUAAUUUCAAAAUUAUCACGAUAUGUAUAGAUUCCAUUUAAUGUGGCCAGUACCACCGAUUGAGCACACAGAAAAGAAAAGCAAAUGUAUAAAUCUAAAAUGAACAAUUUUAUCUUCGAAGAGUUCUUCGAUGGUGGCCAAAAAAUCAUCAAAUCAAUACUUCUCUUUGUAAACUUUAAUGCUGCUUCGGGAGUAACCUUCAUGAUAAUAUGAUUUAUUAUUUUUCCUUUUUUUUUUAAAGUGACUGAUCUGUACGCGAAUACUAUUCGUUUAAAACUAUUCGAUGUUGAUGAAUAACCUGUUUAUAGAUCAUAAUUUUAGUUUAAGGAUGAACGAAAGUAAAAUAACACAUUUACUUAGGUAAUAAUUUUACAAACGUUUCGAAGAAAUUCUCUCUAAUUUUCCGCUCGAUAUUCUUAUGUAAACGCUUAUUUUAACUUUUGCCAAUGCAGUCUUACUACUUAGACUCACUGAAGGGUAUAAAUCAAUCAGGAGUUCUCUAUACGCUACCAUCUGUAAUUAUUUUAAAUUACUGCGUGCGAAGAAAAUAAGUUAUUCUCACUGCAUUUUCUUCCUAUAAUUUUCAUACGUAUAAUUUUCUAAUUGGAAUAACACGAUAGAGGAAUAAUAAAUAAUUGUGUAUAUGUAGAGAAAAUCGAUUAAAUCGAGUAGAGUAAGCGAUUAAAUUUUAAUUUUAAUUUUAUCUCUUUGCAAUAAUGAAAUUAAAUCGAAUUAUUUACCGAAGCCUCUGUUUUUUGAUUCAUUUGCGAUUUUACUGUGGAAUAGAACAUUUAUACGAAGAGUUCAGAAAACAAAUACACGGAAGGGAUAUCCCUUAAAUUUUGAAAAUAUUUGAUAUAUUUCUAAACAUUUGUACAUUGCAAAUAUGUAAGUACAGGGACAAGUUAUUGAAUUUAUUAAAUUUAUAUUCUUAACAUCAUGGAAUCUAAUCGUUCAAUAAAAUAUUGCAGCGAAAAUUUUAAGUAAAAUCGAGAUGUAGCUUAUUACAAAAUUUAAAUACACGUUCAUUAAUGAUGUUAAUUGAUUUAAUCGAUAAAAUUUCCUUUUGUAUUUUCGAUGAAUCGAAGUAAAAAAGAAAUUCAACGAUUAAUAACAAUAUCUAUUGUUUUCUAGAUAUAGAUUCAAUAGUUGUUUAAAAUAGAUAAUUUUGUGAAUGAGGAGCGAAUAAAAUAAUCCAUUAGACAAGUUAUCUAUAAUUUCUACGUUUUAACGUAUAAUUAUUAAUUUUAUUAUAAUACCAGGCUCAAUGAACGCCAUUAAUUAAAGUACAAAUUACUAGAAUUAGAAAUAAAUAGAAAUUACUAGAAAAAAUUGAUAACAUUAUAUUGGAUGUUGUAAUAAUAUAAAAUAAUGUAAAUGAUAAUAACAUUAUUGUUAAUUUAAUAAUACUACAAGAUUAAGUACAGCUAAUUUCCUUUUUUUCAUUUUCUAGAAUUAUUACGACGGCCUGUAAUCGUUUUAUCAAGAUAAUGGAGGAAUACACACACAAAGGCAAACACAAUAUGGCGUUUUAUUUUCUUCCGUAGAAGAGUAGCUUUGAUUACAAGAGACAUUUAUAAAUGAAAGCUGGAUGAGAACAUAGAAAUAAUUGAAUAACUGCACCAAUAACGAGAAUGACGAAUUGAAUUUUCAUGGUUGUUGAUUUCGCCUGUGAUCGAGAAAAAGAAAAAGAAAAAGAAAGAAAAAAAAAAAAGAAAGAAAAGAAGAACUAACAUAUCAAAGAAUAUAAUUCAAUAAAAUUCAAAUGAUAAGGAAAAUAUUCAAUGAUAAUAUAAGAUAGAGAUAAAUUUUUACAUAACUAACAAAAAUAAGUUGUAAUCCACCGAAUAUCAUGAUCAGGGCAGAUAUACAAGUAGUUAUAAGAAUGAUAUAACGUACAGUUAUAACAACGUCCUUCGCGUAUCUAAAAAUGAAAAGUAACGUGUGAUAGAGUAAGUAUUUAAUUUCAUAAAAUGCAAAGAAAAAAAAAAAAAAAAAAAAAGAAAAAAAGAAAAAAGAAAAGAGAAAAGAAUAAAGCCAAUUAUAUUGUGAUAAACUAUUAAUAAUUUACCUAAGCAAAUGCAAAUGUUUACGUAUGCAACAAUUUAGAUCAAAUAAAUUGAUAAAUCUUGUUAAUUCCAUGCACAAAAUUUCAAAUCUUGCCGAGGUGAACCACAAUAAAACUGCAACCUGACAAUCAAUGGUACCACCGACGGAUGCUAAAAUUCCAACGAAUCCUUGGUGAAAGUAAAUUAUUUCGUAUAUGGGAUGCGAAUCAACUUUAAAAGGAUACUUGGCGUAUGUUGGCAAUGGUUGGGAUAAUAUCGCCGGUCCUAAAAUAAGACCUGAACAAAUCACGUAAAAGCCAAUGGUUGUAAUUAAAUGAAAAAUCGCACAUCUCUUUACAUAAUUUUGUAAUAUUCUUUUCUCCAAAGGGUUAGCUCGUUUUACGAAAUUUUCCAUCUCCAGGAUUAUCGACUGCGAUCAAGAACAGGAAACAAAAAAAAGAAAAAAAAAAAAAAAAAAAAAGACAAAAAGACGAAAUGAAAAAUAGAACGAACAUCGAACUAACUCGUUCGAACGUUGAAAUGAAAUUGUCAAAAAGGGUAAUAAUGGAAGGAAAAACGACAAAAAAAAGAGAGAGAGAGAGAGAGAGAGAAGAAAUAAAGUACAAAAGAAAAAGAAGGAAAAAGAGAAAAAUUUGAUUUACCUGAAAUUUCCAACGUUGCUUUCUCAAUAUCAACAUCUUUAUACACAUUUGACAGACACCUGCUAGAAUGCACGUAGUUUGUAUCGUAAUUAAAGUAUUCUGACGAUACUCAUAAAUCCCAUUAAUUAAUGCUAAAAGCAAGAACGUAGCGGUUAAAAACGAUGUCCACCAAUAAAUGUCACGCAAGAGUAAUUGUUUUUUUGUUGCGUUUAAAGGGGGCGGCCAACAGCCCAUUAUUAUAACACUCAUUUUCGUAAAUUUCAAAGCAGUUUCCGGUGUAAUAUCAAAUAUCAUUAUUUAUUACAAUAUAUAACAAUAAAUUCACUCGAUAAUGUUAUAAAAUUGAUCGUACGUAAGAAAUACUUUUGUAACCAUCGGCUCGAUAUUAGAUCGUUACAAUUUAGUGACAUUCGAUAACUUAUCAUAAAUACAAUCUCAAUAAUGAUUUUCGUUCGUGUACGCGUAUCGAGAGAUCGAGCGAAAUAAAUAAAUAAAUCAUUUGACAAUUAAUGUAUACAACGUUGCUUUCACGACCUGACUAUUACCAUCGAUUACUUCGUAAUGCCGGUUUAAAUCCAACGUUUCUAUGAUAUUAUCCGAAGUUUAUUUCCUUUCAUCGAAUUUCAAUUAGGUAUAUUAUAUUUAUCGAAUAAUGAGUACCGUUUAAAAUACAUUUGAAGAAUUCUAAUUUUUUUCUUUCUUUCUUUUUCCUUUUUUUCUUUUCCUUUCUUUUCUUUUCAUCAUCUUAAGCUAUGAUUACAAAUCUAUAGUUCGCAUUGUAAUAAUAUAGGAAAACGUAGAAAAAUAUCUUUUCAUAUCUUUUGCACUUACGGUUACGUAUUCCAUUAUGCUUACGAAGAUUACUAUUUCCUCUAUUCCCUCACACCCCCCACCCUCUCCCCGUACACCCUUUCGUAAGAGUAUGAAUAUGUUAUCAAGGGUUUUCAUACAUCUUUUCUUUUUCUUCUUCUUCUUCUUUUUUUUCUUCUUCUCUCUUUAACUUCUCUCUUUAACUAUUAUCAUUCAUUAUUUCGCAUCGAUACUUCCACCCUUAUUUUCUUUUCCCUAGUUCUAUUUCUAUGUGCUAUCGAGGAACAAAUUAUGAAUUUUCUUCACGUAUGUAUAUGACGAAUGUGUUAACUUUAUUUUCAUUUAUUGAAAGCAGACAUCAGUUGAGGGACUUGUUUUUUUUUCUUUUUUUUUUUCUUUUUUUUCUUCUAGAGAAAUGUACCUUUUAGAUAAUCAAGCGUCGAAUAGAAAGCAACAGCUCUCAAUGUUGUGAAGUAUGAAAAUGACGAUGACAGAAACUGAAAUACAUAUAAUCGCGCAAUUUAUCGAUGUGUGUGAGAAGUAUUGAGAAUUAUAAUGAUAAUGAACGUACCGACAUAUAAUAAGUUAGCGACAAUGCAGCCGGAUAUGAGUUCAAAAAUAAUUGAACAAUAGCGACAAUAUCCAAUACGAGGAAUUGAAAUUUGACCGCUACUGAAUCUGACUAUCGUUAAAAAGAUAAAUGC